rnacentral:misc_RNA from 1 species
GAUAUCCAGAAGCUUGCAAGCUGGCAAAGAAAUUGACAACAUUGGCACAAAUCUAAAUGAUUUUGUUUUAACUUUUCCUCUAAACUAUAGAAUAUGGGCCCUGAGAAGCAUCAGCAUAUACCUAAUUGCUACUUGCUAGCCAAGGCCAAGGAUCAUAUUCUUUCACAUUCCCCGUGGAUUAGAGAAGUUCUGCUUUAACAAAGUACAGGUGAAUUUACCUAUUUGCCUCUCUGCUGGACUUGCAGGUGCAGCUGCUCCUGCAUGACCCGCCUUCACACAUCAGGACAAGGGCAAAUUGAGUACAGGUGAAUUGCCUAUAUGACCCUCCUUCACACAUCAGGACAAGGAUGAAUUCAAUUUCAUUUUCAUUGCAGUCCAUUGAAUUGGUGGCAGAAUUCAUUAACUCUUCUCGACCACUUACCAGAGACAGAAAGCCCUCUCUGUCUCAACAUUGGUCUACAAAACAAAAAAAUGCAUCAAAAGUGUUGUAUCUUGCUAUUUUAUCAAAGCAUAAGCCAUCUUUGAAACUAUCUUGCUAUUUUAUCAAAGCAUAAGCCAUCUUUGAAACUUGUCGGUGAAUUCACUGAAGUUGGAUUUCUCCAACCGACAUCAACAAUUUAUCAUUAUAUGGAAUGGAAAAAUAAAAUGAUCAGGCAACAGCAGACGUCCUCGACAAACCAGUGGAAGGGAGUCUGCUAUGCAAAUCUAAGUACCUACUUUCUCAGGGAGAGAUAGUGGCACUAAAUUCUUGAUGAAAUUUGCAAUUGGGGUUAAGUUCCACUGCAUCCAUCAACGAGUACCCACUGCGUUUCUCUCUUUAUGUGUACCCAAACAAUCUUGCUUCUCUACAAAAUUGGUAGAAUACCAAGCCAGUGCAUCUAUUUAUUCAGCCAACUUCAAUAAUCAAACAGAAACUUUCAGCUUCAAAGAAAGGUAAUCAUCACAUGCUUAAGGAACACGAUUGAAAAGCAUAACAAAAGCAUCUAAGAUUCUAAUGAAAUGCACAUCAGAGAAAAUAUUACCCAGUCCAUAAUUUUAACACAAAAUAUACUUUCACCUAAGAUUGUAAUGGCUUCUAAUCCAUUAGUACUGACGGUAUAUUACAAAAAUUGCAAAAUGAAUACCAUCUAAUUAACAUAACUGCAUUGUCUAAAGAUGAUCCCUUCAAAUCAACAUAACCAUCAACGGCCAGCAGAUGGUGUACAAUUGAAUGAUUGCAGAUGACAGCAAAUAGCGUUUAUAAUUUGAAGGGUAUUCUCUCUGUGCAAAGGCAACCGCAGCCCGAAGGACUAUCCAAAUCAAGCCAGAACUUGGAACACCAAGCAGUGUUAAUCCAGCCAUCAACAGCUUAAAAGAGAGAGCUCCUCUUCCAAUUUUUUCACUCAGUCUCUUAGAAACUCACUUGCCAACAUGAACUACAAAGGUUAGAAGACAUCAUAAUAACAAAAGAAAGUAACAGGGUAAAUCUAUGGAACUUCCUCUUCUUGGGCAUAAAUUGAGUAAACAACUUCGAUCCCACAUACUUCUUACCAACUACUUGAAUUAUUAAUUGAAUCAUACAGCUGCUACUCCUUAACUACAAGUACUUGAAUUGUUGAUUUAACAAUAAAUAUGUAUAAGGAGCCAGAGCAUUUACCCAUUACCUAUGCCAAUCCGCACAGAAAAUGCUUAUCAAGCAAGAGCUUUUCAGACUGGAAAAGUUGGGCCUAGUUUGUCCACAUGGGUGCAGGGUGCUGCACAAAAAAAUGCAUAAGUGUGGCUUUGAAACUACGCAUCAUUAAACACAGUUCAAUCUUUUUUUCUACACUUCAGGGAACAAAUUCUCAAUCAAGCAUUAGUCUUCCAAAUGGAAAAGAAAGGAGACAGGCUCUGAGAAUU